CCGACGGGUGAGUAACACGUAUGCAAUCCACCUGUAACAGGGGAUAACCCGGAGAAAUCCGGACUAAUACCCCAUAAUAUGGGCGCUCCGCAUGGAGAGCCCAUUAAAGAGAGCAAUUUUGGUUACAGACGAGCAUGCGCUCCAUUAGCCAGUUGGCGGGGUAACGGCUCACCAAAGCGACGAUGGAUAGGGGUUCUGAGAGGAAGGUCCCCCACAUUGGAACUGAGACACGGUCCAA
rnacentral:rRNA from 1 species